rnacentral:rRNA from 1 species
AAAUUGAAGAGUUUGAUCAUGGCUAAGAUUGAACGCUGGCGGCAGGCCUAACACAUGCAAGUCGAACGGUAACAGGAAGCAGCUUGCUGCUUUGCUGACGAGUGGCGGACGGGUGAGUAAUGUCUGGGAAACUGCCUGAUGGAGGGGGAUAACUACUGGAAACGGUGGCUAAUACCGCAUAACGUCGCAAGACCAAAGAGGGGGACCUUCGGGCCUCUUGCCAUCAGAUGUGCCCAGAUGGGAUUAGCUUGUUGGUGAGGUAACGGCUCACCAAGGCGACGAUCCCUAGCUGGUCUGAGAGGAUGACCAGCCACACUGGAACUGAGACACGGUCCAGACUCCUACGGGAGGCAGCAGUGGGGAAUAUUGCACAAUGGGCGCAAGCCUGAUGCAGCCAUGCCGCGUGUAUGAAGAAGGCCUUCGGGUUGUAAAGUACUUUCAGCGGGGAGGAAGGGAGUAAGGUUAAUAACCUUAUU